AUGGGCUAUCUGGACCAUUUCCACCUCAAGAGUAUUGCUCUUGAAUCGUAUGAACUAGUUACUGUUUUUUGUUAAUUUACCUUAUAUGUUACAACAUGCACGAAUUAAUAUAAUACAUAACUAGGUUAGAACCUCAUAUAUUACACGAGUUGAAUAAAUAUAAUUUUGUAUAUUAAAUAAUACAACAGUAAAUCUUUAAAAACCUCGUUUAUUACAUGGGUUGAAUAAAUGUAAUUUUAUAUAUAUUAAAUAAUAAAAAAAUUAUAUCUUUAAAACCACGUGUAUUGUACGGGUUGAAUAAAUCUAAUUUUAUAUACCAAAUAAUAAAACAUGUUAUAUCGUUAAAAAUCAUGUAUCUUUAAGAACCUCGUGUAUUGUAUGGGUUGAAUAAAUGUAAUUUUAUAUACCAAAUAAUAAAAUAAUUUAUAUCUUUAAAAAUCAUGUGUAUUACACUUGAAUAUAUGAAAUUUAUAUAAUAAAUGAUAAAAAAUGAUAUCUAUAAAAAUUAUAUCUUUAAAAAAUCUCGUGUAUUGUACGAGUUGAAUUAAUCUAAUUUUAUAUACAA
rnacentral:lncRNA from 1 species